rnacentral:rRNA from 1 species
CCUACGGGAGGCAGCAGUGAGGAAUAUUGGUCAAUGGGCGAGAGCCUGAACCAGCCAAGUCGCGUGAAGGAUGAAGGAUCUAUGGUUUGUAAACUUCUUUUAUAUGGGAAUAAAGUGAGGAACGUGUUCCUUUUUGUAUGUACCAUAUGAAUAAGCAUCGGCUAACUCCGUGCCAGCAGCCGCGGUAAUACGGAGGAUGCGAGCGUUAUCCGGAUUUAUUGGGUUUAAAGGGUGCGUAGGCGGGCUGUUAAGUCAGCGGUCAAAUGUCGGGGCUCAACCCCGGCCUGCCGUUGAAACUGGCGGCCUCGAGUGGGCGAGAAGUAUGCGGAAUGCGUGGUGUAGCGGUGAAAUGCAUAGAUAUCACGCAGAACUCCGAUUGCGAAGGCAGCAUACCGGCGCCCGACUGACGCUGAGGCACGAAAGCGUGGGUAUCGAACAGGAUUAGAUACCCCUGUAGUC